UACGAAGGGGGCUAGCGUUGUUCGGAAUUACUGGGCGUAAAGCGCGCGCAGGCGGUUCUUUAAGUCAGGGGUGAAAGCCCAGAGCUCAACUCUGGAAUUGCCUUUGAAACUAGAGAACUUGAGUACGGGAGAGGUGAGUGGAAUUCCGAGUGUAGAGGUGAAAUUCGUAGAUAUUCGGAAGAACACCAGUGGCGAAGGCGGCUCACUGGCCCGUUACUGACGCUCAGGCGCGACAGCGUGGGGAACAAACAGG
rnacentral:rRNA from 1 species